UUUUACCACCCACACAUAUUCAUCUUUUCUCCCAACACACACAUUCUUUCUUUCUCUCUCAAGUAUAUACACAAAAACACGAAAAAAAAUUCGAUUCAUAUUUUUCUCUCAAAAACACAAAAAUAUUUCCUCAUUUUCCUAUCUUUCUCUCCAAAAAAUAAACAAAAAGUACACAUUUUUCCUCCUCUUCCUUUCCUCAAAUACACAAAUUCACAAAAAAAAAAACACAUUUUAGUCAUCCAUACAUAUACUUUUCUUAUUUCUCAUCUCUCUCGAAUACACAAAUACACACACAUAUUUUUCUUAUAAAAACACACAAUACAUUUUUUAUAAAACAUAUACACAUUUUUCAUCCUCACAUAUUUUUCUUUCUCUCUCAAACACAUAUUUUUCAGUACACACAUAUAUUCUUCACCGGACAUACUUUUAUCAUACAAAUAUUUUGUUCAUCUUUCUUUUUUUCUCAGAAACAUACACAUAUAUUCAAAAUAAACACUCAACAGAUGACAUUAUCGCACCAUCGGAUAUUUGAGGCUACCCCAUAACAAAAUAUGGAUUUUUAUUUUUCAAAGUUUACUUAUUUUAUAUCAAAAUAUUUUUGACCGAUGA
rnacentral:lncRNA from 1 species